CGGCAAAAGCUCAAAUUUGAAAUCUGGCACCUUCGGUGUCCGAGUUGUAAUUUGAAGAAGUAACUUUGGGUCUAGUCCUUGUCUAUGUUCCUUGGAACAGGACGUCAUGGAGGGUGAGAAUCCCGUAUGGCGAGGAAUCUAGUCCUAUGUAAAGUGCUUUCGAC
rnacentral:rRNA from 1 species